AUUUAUUUAGUAUAUACAAAGUACAUUUAACUUCCAAUUAAAAAGAUUUUCAUUAAAAAUAAAUA
rnacentral:tRNA from 1 species